UACGGAGGGGGCUAGCGUUGUUCGGAAUUACUGGGCGUAAAGCGCGCGUAGGCGGACCUGCAAGUCGGGGGUGAAAGCCCGAGGCUCAACCUCGGAACUGCCUUCGAUACUGCGGGUCUCGAGUCCGGGAGAGGUGAGUGGAAUUCCUAGUGUAGAGGUGAAAUUCGUAGAUAUUAGGAAGAAAACCAGUGGCGAAGGCGGCUCACUGGCCCGGUACUGACGCUGAGGCGCGAAAGCGUGGGGAGCAAACAGG
rnacentral:rRNA from 1 species